rnacentral:rRNA from 1 species
GACAGAGGUGCCAAGCGUUAGGCAGAAUCACUGGGCUUAAAGCGUGUGUAGGCGGAUCGUUAAGUACCUUGUGAAAUCCCACGGCUCAACCGUGGAACUGCUGGGUAUACUGGCGGUCUUGAGCCACCUAGGGGCGAGCGGAACAAACGGUGGAGCGGUGAAAUGCGUAGAUAUCGUUUGGAACGCCAACGGUGAAAACAGCUCGCUGGGGGUGUGCUGACGCUGAGACACGAAAGCCAGGGGAGCGAACGGG